AAAGAAGAAGAAGAAGAAGAAGAGCUUACGCGAGUGCGAGGAAUACGUGCCGCGAGUCAUAAUCGUAAGGCCGUAAUGCCGUUACCAACCGACAUGGAAGCGAAAUUGCUGCGCCAGAUAGUUCUUGCAGGUAUGGCGGAUCAAGUCGCGAAAAAGGUUUCGCCCGACGAGGUAAAAGAAGAUCAGGAUAAGGCCAAGUGGAAACAUGCUUACAGGUUAGGUAUGAACACCAGAAAUGGAGGAACCUGUAUUCAUGCAUUCUUCGUGCGUUCUACGAAAAAUCAGUCCGGAAUAGGUGGUACAAAGAGGUGUACGAAACGAAUAAGAUGUACAUGCGAGGUGUCACGGCGAUAGAACCCGAAUGAUUGCCAAAAUUCGAUCCCAUGCUAUGCCAUCUUAGUGAACCAUUGGUUGAUCCACCGCCAAGGUAUAUAUUUUUAUUACAAUUAUUGCUUUAUAAUGUUUUUUUUACUUAUUUAUAAAGAUAUUAAUCUUCAUUAUGAUCGAAUAUUAUUCUCAUUUAUAGAUAUAAUCAAGAAACUGGGAAGAUCAUUUGCCACGUGUCUGGUACAUUCGGAAAGGCCGGAUGGGCACUACCAUCGAUGGAUAUAAAGCAUUCGUGGACGGUGUCGUGGUUCGCGUAUUUCUUCUUGGAGAGUCAAGUGUACCCUAAGCUGAAACAGUUUGUCCCGUCGCUGCUGACGACACCUAGGAGCAUCACCAAGUUAUGGGCCAGAUUGAUACCACGCACUCAAGCAACAGUACAAACGCUGCAGUCGCAAGGAGUCGUGUCCAAAUACAAAUUGCUAGAAAUCUGAGGUUCG